ensembl:lncRNA novel transcript, antisense to SP110
GGUCUUAGAUACAUGAUGGCACUGUUGGCUUCCUGAAGACCUCUUCAUCCUGCAGAAGGUGCAACUCCACAGCAUCCUGAGAGGUUGGACACAAGGUGAGCAGAGGGCAAAGCCCCUGGAAAUGGCCACCAUUCCUGUGGCUGCCACUGUCUUCCCUCAGGAAGGAUGGGCUCAGCCAUGAGGGUGGGACACCUCCCAGAGUGUCCAAGAUCCCCACAUGGGGUCUCCAGCAUUGGCCCUUCCCUCGCAUCAGUGGUAGCGGCAGGCGGGCAGCCUGAGGAAGGUGGUGUCACUGUUAAGUGUGGGCUCUCUUUUCCCUGUCUGAGCUGCUGGGAGCACAAAGGAACCCUGCCUGCCAGGCUUGAGUGUCAGAAUCUGGGCUUUCACCUGCAGGGACCUCAGGCCUCCAUCAGCCAGGCUUGGAAAGAAUGAAUGGUGCCUCUCGGUGAAUUACUACAACCUGAAUCCUGUGACCCCACCUGUGAUGGCCCAAUGUUAUUGAAAUUACUGACUCCAUCCACUUAGCAAGUGGUAAAUACUCUGCAGGCAUAGA